rnacentral:rRNA from 1 species
AUUGAACGCUGGCGGCAUGCCUUACACAUGCAAGUCGAACGGCAGCACGGGUGCUUGCACCUGGUGGCGAGUGGCGAACGGGUGAGUAAUAUAUCGGAACGUACCUUAUUGUGGGGGAUAACGCAGCGAAAGCUGUGCUAAUACCGCAUAAUCCCUAAGGGGGAAAGCGGGGGACCGUAAGGCCUCGCGCAAUUAGAGCGGCCGAUACCUGAUUAGCUAGUUGGUGAGGUAAAGGCUCACCAAGGCAACGAUCAGUAGCUGGGCUGAGAGGACGAGCAGCCACACUGGGGCUGAGACACGGCCCAGACUCCUACGGGAGGCAGCAGUGGGGAAUUUUGGACAAUGGGGGCAACCCUGAUCCAGCAAUGCCGCGUGAGUGAAGAAGGCCUUCGGGUUGUAAAGCUCUUUUGUCAGGGAAGAAACAGCAGCUCUAACACAGUAUGCGAAUGACGGUACCUGAAGAAUAAGCACCGGCUAACUACGUGCCAGCCGCCGCCGUAA